AAUUGACAAAAACAUGAAAUUAAGGUGAAAGGAUAAAUGACGGACUAGCUAGAGGGUUCUUCUCCACACAUGUUAUACUUGCAUACAAAAUGAUUUCCAGUUGUUCAUUUAAUAAAUUGUGAAUCUCAAUACUCCAGAUUAACCGUGAAUAGCACUUUUUUAAUCUUCAAGUUUUCCUUAAGUUAUUGAAUUGGACGGAAAAACGCAUACAACAAUUCAAAACAUUCUUCAAAAGUCCCCUACGUGAAAAGCACAAUAGCGAUACAAUCAAAGAUCAUUAAACUUUGUGAAAACUAUAAGCAUUGACGAGGCAUUCGUAACCAUGAAAAGCAUGAUACUCUUGCCAAGAAUUUACUUAACGUGAUUGUGACUAGCAACCUUUACUACUUGUGAAAAUAAGUUCAUAACGAUUAGGUGAAAUUCACUUAUAUUCUAGCAUCAAAUUCAUGCAUGUAAAUUAAGCGUGCACUCUCAACCAACAUACACAAAUCAGUUUUUAUACGAACGGAUAAGUAAAUUGAAAUCACAACUUAUGAAAUCACAACUGAAGGUAAUCAAUUCAUAUUACAAAUAUAUUCAUGGUUUCGAAUUAACCUCUAGCCAAAAUAAAUUUAAUUACACAUUAUUAAAACAAAAAUAAAAUAGAAGUUUGGAAAGAGUUAACCGAGAAAAUAGAUUGAAGCCUUCUGCUCUCUGUGCUCUGAUGCUUCUUCUGCUGUGCUUCUCAUCUCCCUCCCGCUGCCUCUCACUCCUCUCUUCUCUGACUUUUCUUCUGCUGCCAAGGCAGCCUCUCCUCGCGGACUCCCCUUGCUUGCGUCUGUCUCCCUUUGCUAUUCUUUGCGCCACCUGGACUCCUUCCUUUCCGCCUUCUUUCCAGCUGCCAAAGGCAGCUUUGCUGCUUCUCUCUCUGACCUCCCUGUCUCUCGGUCCUCACUGACCCCGUCUCCUCUCUGCCUCCUGCGCUCUCUGCGAGCUGCCCAAAGGCAGCUCCUUUCUCCUUCCCCCGGUUUCUCACGUUUUUCCCCCGGGAUUCCUUUCUGUCAUCAUAUUUUAUUCCUUGCUUAAUUAUGCCAUGUCCCUCUUUUCCCCCACCAGCCUUUUGCACCGCCCAAAGCCUUAUUGCCACACGUUGCAAGCUGUCAAAAAUCCCUCCUAGCCGUUGCAAGUGCAUUACCAGCUGCUUUUUCCACCUUGCAAGUUGUUGCAAACUUUAAUUCUCCUUUUUGCAUGUUCUGUUAUAAGUGGUCCGAUAAUUGAGUAUAGAGAAAUUCCAUCUGCCAAUUUCUGAUCAGAAUCCCCAACCUAAAGCACAUGCCAGCUCUCAAUUAGCAAAUAUGAUCAGAUGAAUAUGUCGAUCCCAUAAGCCAUCUUUAGACUAGUAAUUGUUAUGCGACAAAAGGUUAUUAGGAUUGAUUGGGGAAUUGAGAUAAGAUCUAUGAUAUGCGACAAAAGGUUAUUAAUAUUAGUAAUAAUCCAUACAGAAUUAAGUUCACAAGUGACUCAACUCAAAGGUGAAAACACAAGGUUUUGGGCAACACAGGGCCUUAACAUUUCUGUUUGAACCAACACUAACCACGAAAAUAACGUAAAUAGAUCUCAUUUGUGCUAUUUUAUUUUCUUUGCAUAACAAAUCCUAUAAACAACAAAAAUAACGUAAAUAGCUCAAAAAUAUAAGGAACUAACUAAGAAAAGACGAGUGAAUUCGAAGUAAAAAUAUAUAUAAAUAUGAUCCGAUCAAAUACCCCCACACUUAACUUUUGCUAGUCCUCGAGCAAAACAAAGAAAACAUGAAAAAGUACUAACAUGAAAAACAUUAGUUUCCCCCUAUGUGACCCUCAUAGAAUUUCAUUCGAGAAAACAAAUCAUCAAGAACCAUAGCUAGCAUCAAGGAAAUAAUCCAAGUUCAUCUUCCUUAUUCAAAUAUUAGCAGUAAUCUUUAAAUCAUCCUUGAAGUGUAGUGUGUGAGAUAGCCAUGCUAAUGCAAUUUCAAGUUUUUAUUUUUAAAAUCAUCAUAUGCAAACUAGCGACCUUCUCACGGGAUAUGCACUCAAUCACACAUGUGUUUAGUUUUAAUGUGUUUCGCUCAAAGAAUCAAAUGUGAAAUUUCUACCAUAAGCUUGCAUAAAGAUCUCAUCUCCACAAUCAUAAUUGCAAAACUUAAAUCAAGAGGACUUUUAUUGGACGUAAUGAGGUUUAAGGAGAGGGUUAUUGAAAUGAAAGAAUAGGAAAACACAAGUUCCAAGCUACAUUGCAAGCAAUUCUUUUCUUUAGAUUUAUAAGAACUCAAGCUCUCCAGCAAUUCUUCUAGCACCUCCAACCAUACUCUUAAACUGAAACUUGAAUAACUUUUUAUUUUCUUUGUGUACAAUUUUUCUUUUUCUUUUUCUUUUCUUCUCUUUUUUUCCUUUUUUUUUUUUAAUCACAAACAUGAAAUACCCCCACACUUAUUCUUUUGCCAAACAUCUUCACAGUACUUCACCAACGUUUCUCAUAAGACAAUUUCGCAUUGCUCGCUUGGAAAGGGUAAGGAAAAAUGUUUCAGGUAUAAGGGUAGACAUAUCUGGUGAUAAGAAAUAAAAGGCUCAACAUACACGGCUCAAAUUGGCAAUCUAAUGAUAUCAUUUUUCUUUGGGAAACAUGGUUAUUUGGGCCAUAGUGGUAAACCUAAUGCCUCUAUCAUUUCCAAAUUCAUGCAAUCAAUGACAAACAUUUCGAAAGAUCGUUACGCAAGUUCUAGAGAUGUAUAUCACAUAAGUUCAUCACACAUAAAAAAAUAGGAGUGUAUGAAAAAUGCACACACUUUCAAUAGGCUCAAAAACUCACAUAGGAUGUAUAUGGUCACUAAAUUCACAUAUGAAGCUUUAAGUCAUACUUUAGUUUCACAUUAACAAGGCUAUGUGCAUUUGGUUUUUCAAAGAUGGUCAAACAUGUACAAAACUAACAAGAGAAUUAGGAAUUUCACCAAACACAUGUUAACUAAGUUCUUGAUGAUCAUGGUUCAAAUUUUUGAUCCAAUUAUAUCAUUGGGUCGGGAAACUAACAAAAAUCUGAUUCAGAACAAUAAGGGAAACAAGACAAUAUUUUUGGAUUUUUAAAUUUUUCGAUUUUUUAUUUUUUUAUUUUUUUAUUUUUUAUUUUUAAGAAAACAAAAACUAACAACACAGAAACAAAUGAAAUUCUAGAGAUUUCUACCCCCACACUUAAACUUGACAUUGUCCCAAUGUCAGAAAACACUAUAACGCAAAUAAAAAUAAAAUAAAUAAAUAAAUAAUAAGAAACAAAAUAAAACAAUGGGACUGAAAACUUCCCUAAUUUGCAGUAAAAUCAAGCGAUGACCCCCAAGCUAAAAUUCUGCAAUCAACUUCAAGGGUGGAAAUAACCAAAAGUUCCUGCAAAGAAAAGAAAUAAUUCAGUUAAGUACGCAAGAAAAUUAAUUAAAAAAAAAAAAAAAAAAAAAAAAAUUGCAAACGAAAAAAUUGAAAAUUACGAUAAAAGAUAAUGAAUAAAACUAAUAAGUAAUCAUUGGUCGUGCUUGUUGACUUUCCACAGCUUUCCUCUUGAACAGGGUGACACUUAGCUUUUCACUUGCAAGUGAUGAUUUUAUGAUAUUGUACGGCGAAGCUUUGCUCUUUGGUUAUGUUGCAGUUCCUUAUUUGUUCUCCAAGCAGAUGUGGCAGCUUCUCUAGUUCCUCAGUUCGGACUCCUUCCGCUGGGAUGAUUGUGCAAGCUGCAUUCUUCUCUGCUUGUUUCUUCUGCACAACGGGCAGGCACGAGGGAAAGGUGUUGGUCCUUAUUUCUUUCUUCAAUCUUUCCAAGUGCCCACCUCUUGCUUUCUUUCUCCUUGUCCCUAGCUGAAUUGUCUCCACAUGCUUCGAGGUAUCAUUUUCACUUCCCUUACUGUCCCCAGGCAGAUGUGGUAGACGAAGAGAAAGCAUAAAAUGAUGAAGAUGAGUACUCGAGAGCAAGGCUAGGUAAGCAAUCAGGAAGGGGUUCCAGGCAGUUGGCUCCAGAUCGGAAGAUUGAUACCAAAUGCUGGCUGAUUGCUCUCUUUCUCCUUGUCGGAAAACAAAGACAAGGAGAAGGACAUGGAGAAAGCAUGAUAUGAGAUACUCUUGCUUUCAACCUUUAUGAUAUGAAAUACUUUUGCUUUGAAUGGGUUGUUCGCAGGAGUAUCCCAAGGAAUGAGGAACACAGAGUGACUCGAGAGGAUUCUUUGGAAUGCAUUUUCGGAGAUGAAGAGGUGUUGAGAGGGUGUGCUGAGAGAGUGUGCUUUUGCUGUGGAAGGCGAAGGUAGAAACUUAUAGGACUUGUCUUCACAACCGGAACUGUUCUCUCACUUAGUGUCGGCAGCCGGUGGAUGGGUGAAGAAUACAAAUUACGCGCUUUCUGACAAAGCUGCCCGUAAUUUCCGCAAAGCUGAUUCCUCAUUGAUAUCUGUAAUCGGCGCUUCGAGCUCUGAGCAUCGUCGAUUGUAGAGGUAGCAUGUGACACGUGCGGAUAAAUCUGGAAAAGAAGAUUUUCCCGUGGGUUGAAGCCCAGCUUUUGAGAAAGCUAGCGUGUCUCUUUGACUGUUGAAUUUCCCUCUUCGAUUUCUGAAUUGGUGCUUCGACAAAUUGCCCGAGAUUUCCGCAAAGCAAUUUGCGUGUGACAAGUGACGACACGUCUGGACAAAUUGAUCUUUUGAAAUCCGGGGUUCGGCUCGUGGUUUCUGAGCAAGCCCAGCCUUUAAGAAAUGAAACACCUCUUUUGAGAAAGAAUCCGGCUUUUGAGAAAGGAAACUCCUCUUUUGAGAAAAAGAAUCAGACGUUUGAGAACGGAGCCCCGACUCUUCGAUUUGCGAGAGGACGCUUCUCUGAGGAGCGCCUCUUUGAUUUCUUCCUUUUUAUAGAGACGUUAAGCUUGUUCCACAACACACUUGAGCUCCCUCCUGUAAACACUCCCUUCUUGCACUUGUUUAAUCUUGAUCAGUCCAACUCUCUUCAUUCUUACCACCUCUGAAAAAUGUCUGGCCCUUCUGAUCGUCGUUUUGACUUGAACAUUGGUGAAGAGGCAGCUCCGCCUUCACCAGACACACAUAUGGCGGCCAUCCUUCAUAUCCCCUACCGGUCCCCUUACCGUGGGGAUUCGAUGAUGAAAAAAAAUGACAUGACCGCUGCGGUGGUGGCCCGAAACCUUGUCACCCCCAGAGAUAACAGAUUGCUCGCUAGACGGUCUGAUGAAUUGGCGGUUAAGGAGUCUCUGGCUCUUAGCGUGCAGUGUGCGAGUUCUGUGUCCAACAUGGCCCAACGCCUAUUUGCUCGAACCCGUCACGUUGAAUCGUUGGUGGCUGAAAUACAGAGUCUCAAACAAGAGAUUAAAGGGCUCAAGCAUGAGAAUAAAGAAUUGCACAAGCUCGCACACAGCUAUGCCACCAGCAUGAAGAGGAAGAUUGACCAGAUGCAGGACACCGAUGGUCAAAUUUUACUUGAUCAUCGGAGGUUUGUGGGUUUGUUCCAACCGCAUCUGCCUUCGUCUUCUGGGGCGGCACCGCGUAGUGAAGCUCCAACUGAUCAACCUCUGCUGCCUCUUCCUUCUGUGGCCCCGCCGACUGCUGAAGCCCCGCCUACUACUGAAGCACCACCCGACCAAUGAAUACUAUUAGUUUACAUCAUUGUAAAAAUUUUAAUUUUAAUUUUUUUUUUUUUUUUUUUUAUGUAUAUUUUUUUUUUGAUUUUUUAAUUGUUUUUUUUUUUUUUUUUUUUUUUUAUCAUUAAUUUUAAAUUUUAUCUUUUUUUUUUUUUUUUAAUUUAAUUUUUUUUUAUGUAAAUUAAUGUAAAGAGACUUUGGUUAACCUUCCCCCACACUUAAACUAAGUAAUACAAACUCACAGAAAUCAACCAAAUAACACAACUAACUAAACAAAAACAAAAUGAAAGCAGCAAAGAUAAGGGUGUAAAAAUGUAAAUCUGAUUGGGUUAGCGAUUCCAAAGUCUCCCUUCGUUGAAUGCUUGGGUUGCCUCCCAAGAAGCGCUUGAUUUAACGUCUUUAGCCGGACGCAUCUUUCCUUUAAAUUUCCCUCAGCUCCAUUUGUGCCUAAAAUCAAAGAAAGAAAAAUAAAUCAAAUAUCAAAAGUAAAAUACACAAACACCAAUAUAAACAUAAACAAAAAACAAAAAUAAAAGGAUUAGCAAAGUUACUAAUCCCGGCAACGGCGCCAAAAUUUGAUGCGUAAAAUAAGUUAACACACAAAAUUAAACCCUCUUUUUGACAAUUGUAGUAUAGAUGUAAGUAUGGUAUCGUUCUAGGCCGGGGAUUAGGAGGGAUUGCUAAUCUAUUAAAUUAACUUUAAAAUAUUAAAUAAGACUCAAGGACACAAAACUAGGCUAAAAACUCUAAUAACUCGAAACACACUUAAAAUGACUCAAAAUAAUGAAAACAAUUAAAUUAAACACUAGGAACUGAAAUGGACGGAAAUUAAAUUAAAAGACUAACAAUAAAGAAAACUAAAUAAAUAAUAUAAUUUAAUAAUGGAUGGGUGUUUGGUUUUGAUGAAAAGUAAAUUAAACUUAAUUAAAUUACAGAAUUGACAAAAACAUGUAAUUAAGGUGAAAGGAUAAAUGACGGACUAGCUAGAGGGUUCUUCUCCACACAUGUUAUACUUGCAUACAAAAUGAUUUCCAGUUGUUCAUUUAAUAAAUUGUGAAUCUCAAUACUCCAGAUUAACCGUGAAUAGCACUUUUUUAAUCUUCAAGUUUUCCUUAAGUUAUUGAAUUGGACGGAAAAACGCAUACAACAAUUCAAAACAUUCUUCAAAAGUCCCCUACGUGAAAAGCACAAUAGCGAUACAAUCAAAGAUCAUUAAACUUUGUGAAAACUAUAAGCAUUGACGAGGCAUUCGUAACCAUGAAAAGCAUGAUACUCUUGCCAAGAAUUUACUUAACGUGAUUGUGACUAGCAACCUUUACUACUU
rnacentral:lncRNA from 1 species